GACGAACGCUGGCGGCGUGCUUAACACAUGCAAGUCGAACGGAAAGGCCCUGCUUUUGUGGGGUGCUCGAGUGGCGAACGGGUGAGUAACACGUGAGUAACCUGCCCUUGACUUUGGGAUAACUUCAGGAAACUGGGGCUAAUACCGGAUAGGAGCUCCUGCUGCAUGGUGGGGGUUGGAAAGUUUCGGCGGUUGGGGAUGGACUCGCGGCUUAUCAGCUUGUUGGUGGGGUAGUGGCUUACCAAGGCUUUGACGGGUAGCCGGCCUGAGAGGGCGACCGGCCACAUUGGGACUGAGAUACGGCCCAGACUCCUACGGGAGGCAGCAGUGGGGAAUAUUGCACAAUGGGCGGAAGCCUGAUGCAGCAACGCCGCGUGCGGGAUGACGGCCUUCGGGUUGUAAACCGCUUUCGCCUGUGACGAAGCGUGAGUGACGGUAAUGGGUAAAGAAGCACCGGCUAACUACGUGCCAGCAGCCGCGGUGAUACGUAGGGUGCGAGCGUUGUCCGGAUUUAUUGGGCGUAAAGGGCUCGUAGGUGGUUGAUCGCGUCGGAAGUGUAAUCUUGGGGCUUAACCCUGAGCGUGCUUUCGAUACGGGUUGACUUGAGGAAGGUAGGGGAGAAUGGAAUUCCUGGUGGAGCGGUGGAAUGCGCAGAUAUCAGGAGGAACACCAGUGGCGAGGGCGGUUCUCUGGGCCUUUCCUGACGCUGAGGAGCGAAAGCGUGGGGAGCGAACAGGCUUAGAUACCCUGGUAGUCCACGCUGUAAACGGUGGGUACUAGGUGUGGGGUCCAUUCCACGGGUUCCGUGCCGUAGCUAACGCUUUAAGUACCCCGCCUGGGGAGUACGGCCGCAAGGCUAAAACUCAAAGGAAUUGACGGGGCCCCGCACAAGCGGCGGAGCAUGCGGAUUAAUUCGAUGCAACGCGUAGAACCUUACCUGGGUUUGACAUGGAUCGGGAGUGCUCAGAGAUGGGUGUGCCUCUUUUGGGGUCGGUUCACAGGUGGUGCAUGGCUGUCGUCAGCUCGUGUCGUGAGAUGUUGGGUUAAGUCCCGCAACGAGCGCAACCCUUGUUCACUGUUGCCAGCACGUUAUGGUGGGGACUCAGUGGAGACCGCCGGGGUCAACUCGGAGAAAGGUGGGGAUGACGUCAAGUCAUCAUGCCCCUUAUGUCCAGGGCUUCACGCAUGCUACAAUGGCUGGUACAGAGAGUGGCGAGCCUGUGAGGGUGAGCGAAUCUCGGAAAGCCGGUCUCAGCUCGGAUUGGGGUCUGCAACUCGACCUCAUGAAGUCGGAGUCGCUAGUAAUCGCAGAUCAGCAACGCUGCGGUGAAUACGUUCCCGGG
rnacentral:rRNA from 1 species